rnacentral:rRNA from 1 species
AACGAACGCUGGCGGCAUGCCUAACACAUGCAAGUCGAACGAGACCUUCGGGUCUAGUGGCGCACGGGUGCGUAACGCGUGGGAACCUGCCCUUAGGUUCGGAGUAACUCCCCGAAAGGGGUGCUAAUACCGGAUAAGGUCUUCGGACCAAAGAUUUAUCGCCUUUGGAUGGGCCCGCGUUGGAUUAGCCAGUUGGUAGGGUAAAAGCCUACCAAGGCGACGAUCCAUAGCUGGUCUGAGAGCAUGAUCAGCCACACUGGGACUGCGACACGGCCCAGACUCCUACGGGAGGCAGCAGUGGGGAAUAUUGGACACUGAGCGCAAGCCUGAUCCAGCAAUGCCGCGUGAGUGAUGAAGGCCUUAGGGUUGUAAAGCUCUUUUACACGGGAUGAUAAUGACAGUACCGGGAGAAUAAGCUCCGGCUAACUCCGUG